GUUCGCCGAAAACCCAAGGUUUCCUGGGUAAAGGUAAUCUUCCCAGGGUUAGUCGGACCCUAAGGCGAGGGCGAAAGCCGUAGCUGAUGGAAAACGGGUUAAUAUUCCCGUACUUCUUGUGGUGUGCGAUGGAGGGACGCAGAAAGAUAGGUGGGCCAACUGUUGGAUGUUGGUGCAAGCUGGUAGGAAUGCCUCGCCGGCAAAUCCGCGAGGUGAAUCCGAGAAGCGAGUCCGUGGGCGCAAGCCCUGAAGCCAUUGAGUCUCCGCUGCCAAGAAAAGCUCCUAAGUUUAGCCAUGAGGAUCCGUACUGCAAACCAACUCAGGUGGGUGGGAUGAAUAAUCCGAGGCGCUCGAGAGAACUCUGGCCAAGGAACUCGGCAAAAUGACCCCGUAACUUCGGAAGAAGGGGUGCUUUUUCAGGUGACCAUUUUUACAUUGGAAGCCGGAGGAAGCCGCAGUGAAUUGGUGGUGGCGACUGUUUACUAAAAACAUAGGUCUGUGCGAAGUCCUACAGACGACGUAUACGGACUGACGCCUGCCCGGUGCCGGAAGGUUAAAAGGAGGAGUCAGCGCAAGCGAAGCUCCGAUUUGAAGCCCCGGUAAACGGCGGCCGUAACUAUAACGGUCCUAAGGUAGCGAAAUUCCUUGUCGGGCAAGUUCCGACCUGCACGAAUGGCGUAACGAUCUCCACGCUGUCUCGGCCAGAGACUCGGUGAAAUUGAAGUCGCGGUGAAAAUGCCGUGUACCCGCAGAAAGACGGAAAGACCCUGUGCACCUUUACUAUAGCUUGACAUUGGGUUUUGAACCUGCAUGUGUAGGAUAGGUGGGAGGCUGUGAAAGCUGUACGCCAGUAUGGCCGGAGCCACCCGUGAAAUACCACCCUUGUUUGUUCAGGACCCUAACUCGCAGCUGUAAUCCAGCGCGAAGACAGUGUCUGGUGGGUAGUUUGACUGGGGCGGUCGCCUCCUAAAGAGUAACGGAGGCAUGCAAAGGUUCCCUCAGGCUGAUUGGAAACCAGCCGUUGAGUGCAAGCGCAUAAGGGAGCCUGACUGCAAGAGAGACAUCUCGAACAGAUACGAAAGUAGGUGCUAGUGAUCCGGUGGUCCCGAAUGGAAGGGCCAUCGCUCAUUGGAUAAAAGGUACGCCGGGGAUAACAGGCUGAUCGCAUCCAAGAGUUCACAUCGACGAUGCGGUUUGGCACCUCGAUGUCGGCUCAUCACAUCCUGGGGCUGAAGCAGGUCCCAAGGGUACGGCUGUUCGCCGUUUAAAGUGGUACGCGAGCUGGGUUUAAAACGUCGUGAGACAGUUUGGUCCCUAUCUUCUGUGGGCGUAGGAGAAUUGAGAGGGUUUGUCCCUAGUACGAGAGGACCGGGAUGAACGCACCACUGGUGGAUCAGUUGUCGCGCCAGCGGCAUAGCUGAGUAGCUAUGUGCGGAAUGGAUAACCGCUGAAAGCAUCUAAGCGGGAAGCCAGCCUCGAGAUAAGUUCUCCCUGUCGCAAGACACUAAAGGGCCGAUGAAGACUACAUCGUUGAUAGGCCGGAGGUGGAAGCGCUGCGAAGCGUGGAGCUGACCGGUACUAAUAGCCCGUGCGCCUUAUAUUU
rnacentral:rRNA from 1 species